GGUGACCUCGGAUCAGGUAGAUCCCAGUUUGA
rnacentral:rRNA from 1 species